AAGUCGUAACAAGGUCUCCGUAGGUGAACCUGCGGAGGGAUCAUUACUGAGUUAGGGAGCAAUCCCGACCUCCAACCCUUUGUGAACGCAUCAUGUUGCUUGGGGGGUGACGCUGUCGAAAAUUACAGUAGCCCCCCCGGCCAUCAAAAACACUGCAUUCUUACGUCGGAGUAAAAAGUUAAUUUAAUAAAA
rnacentral:misc_RNA from 1 species